AGCAUUUCUCAUAACUACUGGAGAGGCUCAGAGGAACAAGAUAUGAACUUCCCUCUCACACUCCCUGUUUAAAUUAACUUGGACGAGUUGAUCAGAAGCCUCUGCUAUGGAGGAGAAGUGAGGUCCUGGCAGGCAGCCCUGGGCCAUUAAAAGCUUCUGUUUGAGGUUGCCGACGCUUGUCUGUCCCCCCAUGGCCACAGAAAACAGGUUAUUCCCUUCUUACUGUGCAACAGCC
rnacentral:lncRNA from 1 species